AUGAAGUACAGCGUCUCCGCCCGCCCAAGGAUCACUGCGUUUGUGCUAGAAAUGCCAGCGUCUGGGGACGGCUCUAAUGCCAGGGCCCCUGUAAUUGAACUAGUGAAAUCAGUCCUGACCCUUUCUAGACACUGUUCUUCAACAGAUGUCUCUGCUUCUCUGGAUCUCCAGGAGUACAAAGGUCCCGCCUACGUCAUCAUAAGAACCAACUUCUUCUUAAAACAGUCAAGAAGACAUGAAUCCAAAGAUAAAUCCUCUAAGAAACACAAAUCUGAGGAACAUAAUGACAAAGAACAUUCAUCUGAUAAAGGAAGAGAGCAACUGAAUUCAUCUGAAAAUGGUGAGAAGGGACACAAACGCAAAGAAAGAAAAUCAUCAAGAGGCAGAAGUCACUCAAGAUCUAGGUCUCGAGAAAGAUGCCAUCAUAGUAGAAGCAGGGAGCGGAAGAAGUCUCGAUCCAGGAGGAGGGAGCGGAAGAAGUCACGAUCUAGAAGCAGAGAGAGGAAGAAAUCACUAUCCAGAAGCAGGGAAAGAAAAUGUAGGAUCAGAUCUCACUCCCGCUUAAGAUCAAGACACAGGCAUAGGACUAGAAGCAGGAGUAGGACAAGGAGCAGAAGUAGAGAUAGAAAGAAGAGAAUUGAAAAACCGAGAAGAUUUAGCAGAAGCUUUAGCCGGAUGCCUAGCCCACCUCCAUUCAGAGGCCAAAACACAGCAAUGGAUACACCAGAAGCUUUAGCUAGGAGGUUGGAAAGAGUGAAGAAAUUAUAAGAACAAAGAGAGAAGGAAAUGGUUGAAAAACAAAAACAAUAAGAAAUUGCUGCAGCAGCUGCUGCUACUGGAGGUUCUGCUCUGAAUGUUGCUGCCCUGUUGGCAUCAGGAACACAAGUAACACCUCAGAUAGCUAUGGCUGCUCAAAUGGCAGCCCUGCAAGCUAAAGCUUUGGCAGAGACCGGAAUAGCUGUACCUAGCUAUUAUAACCCAGCAGCUGUGAAUCCAAUGAAAUUUGCUGAGCAAGAGAAUAAAAGAAAAAUGCUUUGGCAAGGCAGGAAAGAAGGGGACAGAUCCCAAUCUGCUGAAAUAUGGGAAAAAUUGAAUUUUGGAAACAAAGACCAAAACAUGAAGUUUAGGAAAUUAAUAGGUAUUAAGAGUGAAGAUGAAGCUGGAUGUAGCUCAGUCGAUGAAGACAGUUACAAGACUUUGAAACAACAGGAAGAAGUAUUUAGAAAUCUAGAUGCUCAGUAUGAAAUGGCAAGAUCACAAACCCACACACAAAGAGGAAUGGGUUUGGGUUUCACAUCAUCAAUGCGAGGAAUGGAUACAGUUUGAAAAAAAGAUCACACCAUGUAAAGUUUGGGAUUAUAGACUUCUUGUUCUGAUGUCAAGUCCUUGUUCACCAAACAGCUAGCAUUCUAGCUUGCAUGGGUGUUGCAUUGACUUUAAUUUAUUGAAAAAUACGAUUUUUUUUAUAAAUAUCAGAUCAGUGAUACUGGUGUUAGUGUUGUAAUCAGGUUAAACCCACUUCCAUUAAACUUGACAGGACUAUAGAAGGAC